rnacentral:snoRNA from 1 species
ACCUUCCAGGUCCCUUGCCCCUCGGAUGUAAACGUUGCUCUGAGUGGCGGAAGAAGGAGGAGGAUAAGCUGAAGUGGACUUGGAGUCCUUAGUGAUGAACAAUUUAAUUUCAAACAUAU